GUCAGUGGCAGACGGGUGAGUAACGCGUGGGAACGUACCUUUUGGUUCGGAACAACACAGGGAAACUUGUGCUAAUACCGGAUAAGCCCUUACGGGGAAAGAUUUAUCGCCGAAAGAUCGGCCCGCGUCUGAUUAGCUAGUUGGUGAGGUAAUGGCUCACCAAGGCGACGAUCAGUAGCUGGUCUGAGAGGAUGAUCAGCCACAUUGGGACUGAGACACGGCCCAAACUCCUACGGGAGGCAGCAGUGGGGAAUAUUGGACAAUGGGGGAAACCCUGAUCCAGCCAUGCCGCGUGAGUGAUGAAGGCCCUAGGGUUGUAAAGCUCUUUUGUGCGGGAAGAUAAUGACGGUACCGCAAGAAUAAGCCCCGGCUAACUUCGUGCCAGCAGCCGCGGUAAUACGAAGGGGGCUAGCGUUGCUCGGAAUCACUGGGCGUAAAGGGUGCGUAGGCGGGUUUCUAAGUCAGAGGUGAAAGCCUGGAGCUCAACUCCAGAACUGCCUUUGAUACUGGAAGUCUUGAGUAUGGCAGAGGUGAGUGGAACUGCGAGUGUAGAGGUGAAAUUCGUAGAUAUUCGCAAGAACACCAGUGGCGAASGCGGCUCACUGGGCCAUUACUGACGCUGAGGCACGAAAGCGUGGGGAGCAAACAGGAUUAGAUACCCUGGUAGUCYACGCCGUAAACGAUGAAUGCCAGCCGUUAGUGGGUUUACUCACUAGUGGCGCAGCUAACGCUUUAAGCAUUCCGCCUGGGGAGUACGGUCGCAAGAUUAAAACUCAAAGGAAUUGACGSGGGCCCCGCACAAGCGGUGGAGCAUGUGGUUUAAUUCGACGCAACGCGCAGAACCUUACCAGCCCUUGACAUGUCCAGGACCGGUCGCAGAGACGUGACCUUCUCUUCGGAGCCUGGAGCACAGGUGCUGCAUGGCUGUCGUCAGCUCGUGUCGUGAGAUGUUGGGUUAAGUCCCGCAACGAGCGCAACCCCCGUCCUUAGUUGCUACCAUUUAGUUGAGCACUCUAAGGAGACUGCCGGUGAUAAGCCGCGAGGAAGGUGGGGAUGACGUCAAGUCCUCAUGGCCCUUACGGGCUGGGCUACACACGUGCUACAAUGGCGGUGACAAUGGGAAGCUAAGGGGCGACCCUUCGCAAAUCUCAAAAAGCCGUCUCAGUUCGGAUUGGGCUCUGCAACUCGAGCCCAUGAAGUUGGAAUCGCUAGUAAUCGUGGAUCAGCAUGCCACGGUGAAUACGUUCCCGGGCCUUGUACACACCGCCCGUCACACCAUGGGAGUUGGCUUUACCUGAAGACGGUGCGCUAACCAGCAAUGGAGGCAGCCGGCCACGGUAGGGUCAGCGACUGGGGUGAAGUCG
rnacentral:rRNA from 1 species